rnacentral:lncRNA from 10 species
CAAUGAACAUACAUGUGCAUGUGUCUUUAUAACAGAAUAAUUUAUACUUGUUUGGGUAUAUACCCAGUAAUGGGAUUGUUGGGUCAAAUGGUAUUUCUGCCUCUAGUCUUUGCGGAAUCACUACACCAUCUUCCACAGUGGUUGAACUUCCACCAAAAGUAUAAAAGCAUUCCUUUUUCUUGACAACCUCGCCAGUAUCUGUUAUUUUUUGACUUUUUAAUAAUCAUCUGGUGGUAUCUCAUUGUGGUUUUGAUAUGCAAUAUUCUAAUGAUCAGUUACAUUAGGGUUCAGUCUUGGUGUUGAACAUUCUGUGGGUUUGGACAAAGGUAUAAGGUUGUGUACCCACCAUUAUUGUAUUAUACAGAGUAUUUGCACUGCCCUAAAAAUCCUCUGUUCUCUUGCCUGUCCCUUUCUCUCUUCCUUUAACCCCUGGCAUCACUAAUAUUUUUACUUUUUCCAUAGUUUCGCCGAUUUCAGAAUGUCAUAAAGUUGGAGCAUAGAGCAUGUUGCCUUUUGGACUCUUAAACUUAACAAUAUGCACUUACUUUUCCUCCAUGUUUUUUUAUGGCUUUCUUAGCUCAUUUCUAUUCAGCACUGAAUAAUAUUCCAUGGUCUGAUUGUUCCACAGUUUAUUCUUCCAUUCACCGACUGAAGGACAUCUUGGUUGCUUCCAAGUCUUGGAAAUUAUGUGUAAAACUUCUGUAAGCGUCCACGUGCCUGUUUUUCUGUGGGGACAUACAUUUUCAGCUCCACUGGGUAAAUACCAAGGAGCACUGCUGGUAGAUGGUAUGGUAAAUCCAAGUUUAGCUUUAUAAGAAACCUCCAAGCUGUCUUCCAAAAGACUGUACCAUUUUGCAUUCCCAUCAGCAAUGAGAAUUGCUCCACAUCCUCAAGAGUAUUUGGUGUCAGUGUUCUGGGUUUUGGUCAUUCUAGGAGAUGCAUAGUGGUGUCUCAUUGUUGUUUUAAUUGCACUUUUCUGAUGACAUCUGACGUGCAGCAUCUUUUUAUAUGUUUAUUUCCUACCUGUCUAUCAUCUUUGGUGAGGUGUCUGUUAAGGUCUUUGGCCCAUUUUUCAACCAAGUUGUUCAUUUUCUUAUUGUUGAGUGUUGAGUUCUUUGUCUAUUUUGAAACUGAGAGGCAAAAUAAUGAAAGCAGCUCCUGAAGUGAGAAUCCAAUAAGGGCUCGGGGAGACUCUAGUAGCAACUUCAAUGCUCAGCUUCUG